AACGAACGCUGGCGGCGCGCCUAAUACAUGCAAGUCGAGCGAGAAGACGUAGCAAUACGUUUGCAAAGCGGCGAACGGGUGAGGAAUACAUGGGUAACCUACCCUCGAGUGGGGAAUAACUAGCCGAAAGGUUAGCUAAUACCGCGUACGCUCCUUGGACUUCGGUUCAGGGAGGAAAGCGAUACCGUGGGUAUCGCGCUCUUGGAUGGGCUCAUGUCCUAUCAGCUUGUUGGUGAGGUAACGGCUCACCAAGGCUUCGACGGGUAGCUGGUCUGAGAGGACGAUCAGCCACACUGGCACUGCGACACGGGCCAGACUCCUACGGGAGGCAGCAGUAAGGAAUAUUGCGCAAUGGGCGAAAGCCUGACGCAGCGACGCCGCGUGGGGGAUGAAGGUCUUCGGAUUGUAAA
rnacentral:rRNA from 1 species